AUGGCCUCGAGCUCCCUCCCGCUCCUUGCCCUCCUGGCCCUGCUGGCCCUGCCAGGGCUCCGGGCGGCCGUGACCCUGCUGGAGUCCGGGGGGGACCUCCAGCCCCCCGGGGGGGUCCUGAGUCUGCUCUGCCGCGCCUCUGGGUUCAAUUUUGGGAGUUUUGGAAUGUUCUGGAUCCGCCAGAGUCCCGGGAAGGUGCUGGAAUGGAUCGCAGGGAUUGACAAUUAUGCAUACACCUGGUACCUGCCAUCGCUCAAGGGCCGGUUCAGGAUCUCCAGGGACAAUGGGCAGAGCUCGGUGACGCUGACCAUGAACAACCUCAAGGACGAGGAUUCCGGCGCCUAUUUCUGUGCCAGGUGUUUCUACGCUGCUUGUGCUGGCGCUGAGUAUAUUGACAAUGUUUUUCAUGGCCCCCAGUCCCCAUUGCUGGGUUCCUAA